UCAUGAAGAAAUUGAACAUGAUAUGAUAAUAUUCAAACAAGACAAUGUGAAAAGUGGACACCCGUCAGAUACUAUACAGAACACAAACUAGUCAUCAGUCAUCAAUUAUAACAAUAUCACUGAAAACUGAAAUAGACAGAUUUUACUCCAUCUGUUUUUGUUGUUGAAAGUCUUUAAGUUUUUUUUUUUUUUUUUUUUUUUCUGGCUUUGUCAUUUACACAAAUUAUUCCUCAUUCUCACAGGAAACAUAGCUUGAACUUUUUGCUGCAUUUGUUGUCAGACCAGACAGACAGAAACAGGUUUAUUAUUUUUUUCCUUCGACUCCACCCAAAAACUUCAGUUGCUUGCAUGUUGGAAACAAGGAAAGAAACGUCUAAGCAUGAUGAGACCUUGGAAAACAGGACAAUGAACAGAUAGACAUCAGGAGUCAGAAAAGAUUAAGCUGAAACUAAAGAAAGACACUGAGGAGAGAACAGAAUAUCAACAUGUCAACUGUUGAAACCAGAGAGAAUGAUGCUCACAAUCAUCCUGACAGGAAAAGAUGGAGCAAAGACGAACCUCUUAACUUGAGUGAUCUGAGGAUCGUUCUGCUGGGGAAGAGCGUGUCAGAAAACAGUGAAGUGGAAAACUUCCUGUUGGGACGAGCAGCGUUUGACAGUGAAGCUCCUCCAGAUGUUGUAGAGAGAGUUGAAGGAAGAUUGAAGGACAGACACAUGAUAGUCAUCAACAGUCCUCAGCUGCUCCAGAGAAACAUCUCAGAUGAUCAGAUCACACAGACAGUGAGAGAGUGUGUGUAUCUGUCUCAUCCAGGACCUCAUGUGAUUGUUCUGCUCCUCAAACAUGAUCAGUGUUCAGCAGAAGAUCAAGAGUGUGUGCAGAAGGUGCUGGACUCUUUCUCUGAGCGGGUUUAUCAACACACCAUGGUGCUCACCACACAAGAGCCCACUGAAACCAAUGACGUCCUACGGAAAAUCAUUCAGAAGUGCUUCAACAGACACUUCAGUCUUCAGAGGAGCAGCUCUCCUGAUGAUCUUCUGCAGGUGUUUGAGGAGAUUGUGCAAAUGAAUGAU